rnacentral:rRNA from 1 species
AAUAGAUACCCCGGGUAGUCCACGCCGUAAACGAUGAGUGCUAAGUGUUAGAGGGUUUCCGCCCUUUAGUGCUGCAGCAAACGCAUUAAGCACUCCGCCUGGGGAGUACGGUCGCAAGACUGAAACUCAAAGGAAUUGACGGGGGCCCGCACAAGCGGUGGAGCAUGUGGUUUAAUUCGAAGCAACGCGAAGAACCUUACCAGGUCUUGACAUCCUUAUGCCUUCUCUAGAGAUAGAGCUUUCCCUUCGGGGACAUAAGUGACAGGUGGUGCAUGGUUGUCGUCAGCUCGUGUCGUGAGAUGUUGGGUUAAGUCCCGCAACGAGCGCAACCCUUGAUCUUAGUUGCCAGCAUUCAGUUGGGCACUCUAAGGUGACUGCCGGUGACAAACCGGGAGAAGGUGGGGAUGACGUCAAAUCAUCAUCGCCCCUUAUGACCUGGGCUACACACGUGCUACGAAUGGAUGGUACAAAGGGCAGCGGAACCGCGAGGUUAAGCCAAUCCCAUAAAACCAUUCUCAGUUCGGAUUGCAGG